rnacentral:rRNA from 1 species
UGAGGAAUUUUCCGCAAUGGGCGCAAGCCUGACGGAGCGACGCCGCGUGAGGGAUGAAGGCCUUCGGGUCGUAAACCUCUUUUGUUGGGGAAAAAGGCCGCAAGGCUUGAUGGUACUCGACGAAUAAGCCCCGGCUAACUACGUGCCAGCAGCCGCGGUAAUACGUAGGGGGCGAGCGUUGUCCGGAUUUACUGGGCGUAAAGGGCGUGUAGGCGGUUGGACAAGUCUGGUGUGAAAUUCCCCGGCUCAACUGGGGAGCUGCGCUGGAAACUGUCUGACUGGAGUGUCGGAGGGGUUACUGGAAUCCCCGGUGUAACGGUGAAAUGUGUAGAUAUCGGGGGGAACACCUGUGGCGAAGGCGGGUAACUGGACGAUAACUGACGCUGAUACGCGAAAGCGUGGGGAGCAAACA